rnacentral:rRNA from 1 species
UACAGAGGGUGCAAGCGUUGUUCGGAAUUAUUGGGCGUAAAGAGCUCGUAGGCGGUUUGUCGCGUCUGCUGUGAAAACGCGAGGCUCAACCUCGCGCCUGCAGUGGGUACGGGCAGACUAGAGUGCGGUAGGGGAGAUUGGAAUUCCUGGUGUAGCGGUGGAAUGCGCAGAUAUCAGGAGGAACACCAAUAGCGAAGGCAGCUCGCUGGGACGUUACUGACACUAAGGCGCGAAAGCGUGGGGAGCGAACAGG